CAGUCUUUGCCCUCAAGUCAUU
rnacentral:miRNA from 1 species